rnacentral:pre_miRNA from 1 species
AGGAGGAACAGCCCCAGUGGCGGGGCAGCUCUGGAAACCUGGAUUCAGCCCCGCAGGGACUCCCGAGCUCUCCGUCUGCAGGGCCUGGAGGCUCCGAGGCGGG